GACGAACGCUGGCGGCGUGCUUAACACAUGCAAGUCGAACGGAAAGGCCUCUUUCGGGGGGUACUCGAGUGGCGAACGGGUGAGUAACACGUGAGUAACCUGCCCUUGACUUUGGGAUAACUUCAGGAAACUGGGGCUAAUACCGGAUAGGAGCUCCUGCUGCAUGGUGGGGGUUGGAAAGUUUCGGCGGUUGGGGAUGGACUCGCGGCUUAUCAGCUUGUUGGUGGGGUAGUGGCUUACCAAGGCUUUGACGGGUAGCCGGCCUGAGAGGGUGACCGGCCACAUUGGGACUGAGAUACGGCCCAGACUCCUACGGGAGGCAGCAGUGGGGAAUAUUGCACAAUGGGUGGAAGCCUGACGCAGCAACGCCGUGGGCGGGAUGACGGACUUCGGGUUGUAAACCGCUUUCGCUCAUGACGAAGCUUUGUGUGACGGUAGUGGGUAAAGAAGCACCGGCUAACUACGUG
rnacentral:rRNA from 1 species